rnacentral:rRNA from 1 species
GUGCACCAGUCGCGAAACUUUACAAUGUGCGAAAGCACGAUAAGGGAACUCUGAGUGCCUCCUAAGGAGGCUGUUCAGGUGUCUAAAAGCACCUGAAGGAAGGGCUGGGUAAGACCGGUGCCAGCCGCCGCGGUAACACCGGCAGCCCAAGUGGUAGCCACGUUUAUUGGGUCUAAAGCGUCCGUAGCCGGCUGGGUAAGUUCCUUGGGAAAUUUGGCUGCUUAACAGUCAAGCUUUCAGGGAAUACUGCCCGGCUUGGGACCGGGAGAGGUCAGAGGUACUCCAGGGGUAGGGGUGAAAUCCAUUAAUCCUUGGGGGACCACCGGUAGCGAAGGCGUCUGACCAGACCGGGUCCGACGGUGAGGGACGAAGGCUAGGGGCGCGAACCGGAUUAGAUACCCGCGUAGU